AUACGGGGGGUGCAAGCGUUGUCCGGAAUCAUUGGGCGUAAAGGGUUCGUAGGUGGAAUUAUAAGUCUGGUGUGAAAGCCCACAGCUCAACUGUGGAACUGCACUGGAUACUGUUUUUCUUGAGUUAUAGAGGGGUUUGUGGAAUUUCUGAUGUAGAGGUGAAAUUUGUAGAGAUCAGAAAGAACACCGGUGGCGAAGGCGACAAACUGGCUAUUAACUGACACUGAGGAACGAAAGCGUGGGGAGCGAACAGGAUUAGAAACCCUAGUAGUCC
rnacentral:rRNA from 1 species